rnacentral:misc_RNA from 1 species
UUAGCUUAUUCAAAUGUUUUCAGAUUGAACAUGUUUUUAAUGAUUUUGUUGUGGGCUACUGACGAGCACGGGCCAGAGAUCAGAGAGAUCCCCAGCGGCCUGUUUUAAGAGACGGGCCCGCCAAAGCAACGUGGUAAUUAUACAAAGGGUUGGAGAUCGGGCCUAGAAGACCCUAACUCAUUAAUGAUCCUUCCGCAGGUUCACCUUUAAAAAAGUUAGCAUAGUUUCAGAAGAGGGAUGGGGUUAAAGGAUAAGACAAGGAAAUUUGGUUAUGACGUACCUACGGAAA